rnacentral:rRNA from 1 species
UACGAAGGGUGCAAGCGUUACUCGGAAUUACUGGGCGUAAAGCGUGCGUAGGCGGUCUGUCGCGUCGGCUGUGAAAACCCGGGGCUCAACCCCGGGCCUGCAGUCGAUACGGGCAGACUAGAGUGCGGUAGGGGAGACUGGAAUUCCUGGUGUAGCGGUGAAAUGCGCAGAUAUCAGGAGGAACACCGGUGGCGAAGGCGGGUCUCUGGGCCGUAACUGACGCUGAGGAGCGAAAGCGUGGGGAGCGAACAGG